rnacentral:lncRNA from 1 species
AGGCGAGCGACAAUAUUUUUUUUAGACACAAAAUCAUAGGUUCUGACAAUAUUUAUCAAAACUUGAUUUACCACUUGAACUUUGACAUUUCUUUAAUUUAUCAACUGAUGAAGUGUUUAUUUCCCUGUUGACCAAUUUUAAUUGCAGCAUAUUUAUGACGUCUUGUAUUACUUUCUUAGGACAUCAGAUUUUGAACUGAAUAAUUCAAUACUUAUUUAAACUGCCACAAAAUGAUUUCCAUUGCAUGGUCAUAGAUGUCUUUCCUCACUCACUAGUCAUGACUUAUAACUAGCAACACAGCGGGUGUCUUACAAGAAGCAAGAACUGCUCAUUCUUCCGGAACACAUGAGUUCAUCCCCAUUUUUUAGGGGUUCGUGAUGUUCGUUGAUGUGUGUACUUUUUAGUUGUUUGUGUUAUAUGUUGGUUGUCUGUGUCUCCAUCGUUUUGUUGUUCUCAUUUUUGUUCUUUGUCCAUUAGGCAACUUGUAUAUAAAUUAGAUGUGGUAUGAGUGCCAAUGAGACAACUCUCCAUCCAGGUAACAAUGUAUUUAAAGUUAAAAUUGCAGUUCAAAGCACUGCCUUCAACACGAAGCCUUGGCUCACACCGCACUUCAAGC